UUGGAGGGCAAGUCUGGUGCCCGCAGCCGCGGUAAUUCCAGCUCCAAUAGCGUAUAUUAAAGUUGCUGCAGUUAAAAGGCUCGUAGUUGAAUUUCGGGACCAUCAUGUCGGUCGUGCCUCGGUACGUACUGGUAUUGUUGGUUUCUCCCUUCUGACGAACCAUGAUGUCAUUUAUUUGGUGUUGUGGGGAAUCAGGACUGUUACUUUGAAAAAAUUAGAGUGUUUAAAGCAGGC
rnacentral:rRNA from 1 species